rnacentral:tRNA from 1 species
UUCCUGGUGGCUCAGAUGGUAAAGAGUCUGCCUGCAAUGCAGGAGAGCCAGGUUCCAUCCCUGGGUAGGGAA